UCAAACCAUGUCCCAAAGGUCACAGGAUCUGGUGUCAAUUUAAAGAAGUAGUCCAGUUACACAUUUGUGGGCUUAUAACUUGGCUUCUAAAUGUCCUAGAGAGAUCAGGUUUGUUUUAGUAUACUCCAAUCAACAGCCCCUACAACCACAAAAAGGAAUGGAGUCAUUAGCACUUAUGGUUUUUAAAUGGCACCCAGAAUUAUGUUGCACAAAGCACAAUUUCACAUCAUUCUGGGUUCAUUUGUGUGAAGACAAGGUCCAAUCAGGCUGAAACGUUACAGAAAAGGUAGAAUCUAUUGAGUUGUAAGUGAUCUGAACGUUUCAUGAUGAUAGCACUUUCCUAAGGGGGUCAAACCAUGUCCCAAAGGUCACCGGAUCUGUUGUCAAUUGAAAUAAGUAGUCCAGUUACACCUUUGUGGGCUUAUAACUUGGCUUCUGAAUGCCCUAGAGAGGUCAGGUUUGUUUUAGUGUACUCCAAUCAACAGCCCCUACAACCACAAAAAGGAAUGGAGUCAUUAGCACUUAUGGUUUUUAAAUGGCACCCAGAAUUAUGUUGCACGAAGCACAAUUUCACAUCAUUCUGGGUUCAUUUGUGUGAAAACAAGGUCCAAUCCGGCUGAAACGUUACAGGAAGGUAGAAUCUAUUGAGUUGUAAGUGAUCUGAACGUUUCAUGAUGAUAGCUCUUUCCUAAGGGGGUCAAACCAUGUCCCAAAGGUCACCGGAUCUGGUGUCAAUUUAAAGAGCAAGUAACGUCUAAAUUAACUUUUUUUUGCUGAUGAACUGUAUAAAUGAGUGUCUAAUAGUGUUUUAAAUGUGUGCAUUCUUUAUUUUAGCAUUUUGGUGCAUUUUCUUUAAAAAUUAAAAAUUCUGUCUAAAAACCACAGUAAUGCGCCACCUUCAGCUGAAAACAUAGAAUUUGAGUCAUUUUGAAUAAAUUUUAGCCAAUGGCUAAAGAGUAAAGUACUACGUAAACCAGUAGAGUACUACGUAGCAGCUCCGUGCCAAAGUUAUAAAAGCAACGAGAGUCUCGGCCACGCCCUGUGGUGAGUGGGAGUUGGAUUUGCAAGCGAGUGUAGGAGGUCAGCGUAUUUCAGCAUUAGCAUAUAGCAUUAGCAUAUCCUAGUCUUAGCAUAUCUUUUAGUGUUAUAAAUACUUAUUUAGUGUUAGAUUUGGCUGUUGGAUAUUGUAGUUUAGUUAGUGUUUGGCUGUUAGUGUGAUUGGGAAAGUAUUUCGGGUUUAGUGUUCCAUAUCGUCUUAGUAUUGGUGAGUAGGUGUAGUGUAGUAUGCUUGCGGUGACUCUGUGGGCAUUUUACCCGCGAUUCUGCACGUCUCCGUUUGAAGAGGGAGGCUGUGCCCACCGUGGCUCUUCCGCGAUUUAGAUGCAGCCCACCGACUCUGCUCCCCCACCACGGCGGGCUCCAGUCUGAGGUGAGUCAGCUAAAUAAACGUUUUAACAUCUUCUAAAGACAAUUCCCUACCUAAAUGCAAAGUCUGAGAGACGUGGUUCACUUCCUUUAGCUAGUCAGUCGGCAAUUCUGCAACAGUGUCUCUAACUGACGCAGCACUUGACAGACGGCAUUACAGCGUGAAAUCCAGCUUGUGACCCGGUUCUGUGAGGAAUUCUGUUUAGGAGGUCGCAUUUCAGGCUCUCCACAUCAUAUGAGACUGACUUUUACGUUAUAAUGAUCACACACUAGGAAUGUUAUAAAGCGCCUAUAUGGGACAGUUUCUUUUGUAUAUUAUCUGACUUUAUAAACUCCCAACAACAAUGUGCUUAUAUAUUUUUUUCAGGCUAAAUCUACCCAAGACACUGGCUGUCAGACUGAUUUAGCUGCAUGAAUGUACUUGUCCAGGCUGACGUGAAACCUUCCCUGUAGCAAAGCCAGCCAGAAUGGAGUUCACAGCUGCAGUGUGUCUGGUGACCCACGGGGACCAUGAUGAAAAUUCAUCUUCCAGAAGGUCCCAGAGCGUCCAGACCCCCUGAAAAGACCAAGAUGUGAGGUGUCUGCUGUUGAUUCCAGCUUCCACCUCAGUGACAGUGCAAGCUCAGUGAACUGUUCAAGCCUGGCUGAUCACCUGAUAACUCCUGUCAUCUGGUUAUGACAGCAUGAGGAUGUCCUCACACACCUGUAACCUAUCAGCUCAUCUGGCAGAAUAGAGAGAGAAGAGACAACACCACAUCUCCUGUUCCUGGAAAGCCUUCAGCCAUCCUUCGAUGACUGAGAACCUCCAUCAGCUCUGUCUCCUGUCUGCCCACAAUUAUUAUAAUAAAUAUUGUGUUUGACAAGUUU